UUCCAUAUAAAACAACAAACCUUCCAUCCUUCCCUUCAAUUUACGACACCAAUCAAAUCAAAUCAUAUGGAAUCAUAUCGGAAAAUUCCGUCACGAGAAGCUUCCAUAAACAACAGUUUAAUCUAAUAUUUUUGCACUUUCCAUAUACAACAAAUAAUUUUCAAAUCCUAUCUUUCGAGCGUGGCAGUCAAGGCCUGAUUCUCCACGCUUCCAGGUUUGUGUCCGGAUCAUGUGGAUUUGAACUGUUUCUUCAAAGUUUGCCGCCGGAUCAGGUAGGCAUGUUUCCUCAAACUUUGCCCCCGGUGCCGCCGCGGCUGCCAGCGAGACACGGGUGCCGGCGAGGCUUCCAGCGAUCCACGGGUGCCGGCGCGGCUGCGAGCGAGACACGGGUCCCGGCGCGGCUGCGAGCGAGACACAGGUUAGUAACCUGUACACAGUUCGCUUCUGGUUAAACUAAUGCGGGAAGAGACUGGGUUAACUAUACAACUGUUCGAUUGGUGGUGUGACAUAGCCCCAACUGUUCGUCCGAUUCGUACAUGGUCCUGACUGUUCUUGUGUGCUAGCGAGGCAUAUACCUGUUCAAAGUAUUAGAUUAAACUGCUUUAAGUAUACAACCAAUGCAUAGCAAGGCUUGACAUAUGUAUACAUUCAACCCUUUCGAAAACUUACUGCUUCUCGAGAGGUAUCCUAACCCCGGCUAUAAUUUUUCUGACAUUCUACCGAAGUAACCUAUACCAAGAACAUGGCUAAGGAGGAUAAUUUGAUAUAUAUACAUGAUUUCUAUUCAACAAGCAACGCUAUCAGAAUAAAUGCAGCACGAAUAUGAUUGUGCAGUUUCAGAUUAGCUCCAUAGUGUUCCUUUUUUUUAAUUAUCAAGAGCUUGUUAAAAUAACUGUGGUACAUAAUUGAUAUGUAAUCCAGUAUGCACUUAUAUGCACUUAGUUGACUAUCUUUAGUUUCUAUAUAUACUGAUGGAACUAUCUUCAGUUUGUAUAUAUACUUGUCACAAAUCAGUACUUGGCACAAACCUAUCUUGGUGAUCAAACAUAGUGUUCCUCAAGCAUGUACUGAUGGAACUAUCCCUGCCAUUUAUUUAUAUUUAGGUGAGAGUCCAUACAUUUAUUUGAAUGGUCUGGUGGUUCAAAAUCCAAAUAUUUGAUUAGCACAUAUAUACAUAUGAGCGUUACCAAUGCAUACAAUGACAUGGAUAAUAAGAACUAGCUUUUCAUGUCAGGGUGAAACUGUAUGGAGAGAAGUAGAGUGAUGACACCAAAGCAAGAGCAAGGAGUAGACCAAGAUAGUUGGCAAGCACGCUUGUUACACUAACAUGAAGGUCUACAGAAAAGCUUCAGGAUUUUGAAAAUUUAUUGUGUUUACAAAACAAGAUCCAUCUUCAGGAUUUUGUUUUCUAUUUACUGUUCACAAGGGAGUAUAUGCUCCCUGGAGCCAAAACUCCAAGCAAGUUUGUCUUGUCAGUGGCGUAUGAGAAAUAAAAUUUGUGUCCGAGAAAAAAUACUACAAAUGGAGGACGAGAUGAUGCUGCCAGGCCAAAGCAACAUUUUCAUGUUGUCCCCGGACUCUAUGCUUUUCUGUGUGGUUUCAUCUACUCUCCUAUUUUUUUUUUUUUGCUUUUCUUAAUCUUGACCAGCCUAGGAAGAAGAAAACUUGAACCAAAGUAGGUAAUCCAUUGCACAACUCAAUGCAUUUCAAAUUGUUCUGUUGCUUCCACCAAAAUCAUGCAGAUAUAAAGAUAAUACAAGAAGGUUAGUUACCUUCCUUUGUGCAGGACAAGAACUCUACCCGCUGCCAUUUUACGGAACCUGUAGCAAGCAAUGCAUUACAUGACAAUGUUGGUUAUUGGGCACAAAAACUGAAGAGAAGCAUUAUUGUACCAAACAUGCCAAGAACUUACUUUACUUCUGUUCAAUGUAGAUUAAAGUGCGUUAAAUAUAGUAUACGGUACUUAUUGGUCUGCUUUGCCAAUGACAAUUGUCUAUGACAGUGAUGUCCUCAAACGACUUGACCCCGUUUGGUUCUCGUUGGGAAAGGGUGAAUCUUGCUAAGCAACACCGACAGCGACAAAUGGAGGCGACAACUGGGCUCCGACAACCUCUUGGUGAUAUCACCAAUGUUGAUAGACUCCCCAAAGAGGGUCCGGGUAUAUUUAAUUGAUAAUUGAUUGGUAUUUGGUGAUUGUUAAAUUAUUAACCUAAACAAUCACUUUCGCAAGCCAUUGGAGCUAGCCCACAACCAUCGAGCGGCUUGUUUAUUCGUGAAGCAGAUGUCCUGUAUCCCUCGACCAUAGAACUUUCGAAAGGGGGUCCAGGUAUAACUCAUCAGCAAUAUUUAAAUGCCUUCGAUAUUGGUGAUUACUAAUUUGAACAAUCCCUUUCGCAAGCCGUUGCAUCUGACCCACGACCAUCGAGCAGCCUGAUUAUACAUGAAGCACCAAUCCCCUCUGCGUCAACCGUAGAAAAUCACAAAGGUAGUCCAGGUAUAGCUUCCGAACUCACACCUCCUUCCAAUUUCUAAAUAUAAUGAAGCGGUAAAUUUAAUCCAUCAGACGGGAUUGUUGCGAAUCAUCUGGUUUGGUAUAUAAUUAAUAUAUCGCAACCCUGAUGGAGCAUGAUUUUAUCCAUAAAUACUAUUACUGUUCAAAAUCAGAUGCUAACUUGUGUAUACCUACAGCAACAGAUGGAGCUACGAGGGGCCGUGCUGGCCAACGUAAAGGGACCUUAUCAAAGGAAGAAAGGGAUGUCAUCAACGCACGGUGAAGAGCAACUUAUAAGAAGAAAAAAGAAGAGCAAGGGUACCAAGAACAAAAGGAUAAGUUGAACACAAAGAGACGAGAAUCUUAUCAGAAGAAGAAACAACAGGAAGACCGACAGCGACAGAUGGAUGCGACAGAUGGCCUCCGACACGCUCUUGGUGAAGACACCAAUGUUAAUAUACUCCCCAAAGAGGGUCCAGGUAUAUGGAAUUUGUGUACUGUUUUUAGUAAUUCACCUUCAAUGUUGUUUCUUACUAAUUAACAAAGUCCCUUUCGCAAGACAACCGAUCUGACCCACAACCAUCAAGCGGACUAUUUAUUCACAAAGCACCAACCCCAUCACCCUCAACCAUUGAACUACCCAAAGGGAGUCUAGGUAUAACUCUGAGACAAUCUUUAAAUGCCUUUCAUAUUGAAUUUUGAAUAAUUUGAACAAUCCCUUUCGCAAGCCAUUGCAGCUGACCCACAAGGAUUGAGAGGCCUGAUUAUACAUGAAACAACAAUCCCCUCUGCGUCAACCAUAGAACUCCCCAUAGGUAGUCCAGGUAUUACUUUCGAACUCACACCUCCUUUGAUUUU
rnacentral:lncRNA from 1 species